rnacentral:tRNA from 1 species
UCCCUGGUGGCUCAGACGGUAAAGUGUCUGCCUACAAUGCAGGAGACUCGGGUUCGAUCCCUGGGUUGGGAA